UACGUAGGGUGCAAGCGUUGUCCGGAAUUAUUGGGCGUAAAGAGCUCGUAGGCGGUCUGUCGCGUCUGCUGUGAAAACCCGGGGCUCAACCCCGGGCCUGCAGCCGAUACGGGCAGACUAGAGUUCGGCAGGGGAGACUGGAAUUCCUGGUGUAGCGGUGAAAUGCGCAGAUAUCAGGAGGAACACCGGUGGCGAAGGCGGGUCUCUGGGCCGAUACUGACGCUGAGGAGCGAAAGCGUGGGGAGCGAACAGG
rnacentral:rRNA from 1 species